CUGCUCCCCCAGCUUCCCGUCAGCACAUUCACUAAAAUUGGAACGAUGCAGAGGAGAUUAGCAUGGCCCCUGCGCGAGGAUGACACGCAAAUUCGUGAAGUGUUUA